GGGAUUAGAUACCCUGGUAGUCCACGCCCUAAACGAUGUCAACUGGUUGUUGGGUCUUCAUUGACUCAGUAACGAAGCUAACGCGUGAAGUUGACCGCCUGGGGAGUACGGCCGCAAGGUUGAAACUCAAAGGAAUUGACGGGACCCGCACAAGCGGUGGAUGAUGUGGUUUAAUUCGAUGCAACGCGAAAAACCUUACCCACCUUUGACAUGGCAGGAAUCCUUUAGAGAU
rnacentral:rRNA from 1 species